CCCGGGGGCCCGUGGCGGCGGUAGCGGGCGCUGACAGCGGCGGUCAUGGAGCUGCGGCGGACGGUGCAGCUCUGCCGCUUUCACUCCCUCCUGCUGCAGAGGAGGUGCCCUUGGCAGCCGCCUGCCCUGCACUGCAGACACAGGGCCAGCCCUCUGAUGCAACGGUAAGCCCUUUGCCCGGGGAGCCGGGAGCCCUCCAGCCCAGGGGCGGGGGGGUCUGUCCCCUUGUUACUCACUUGGGUGGGUUGGAAACGCUCCUCCCCAUGGUGCUCACCUCAGGCCUGUCUGCACCUCCCUGCCGGGCAGAUAUAACGGAGGGGGGAGGGGGGCACGCUGAGAUUGCUCAGGCAGGAGAAACUGCAAAGACUGGUGGGUUAUUCACCCAGCCAGCCACAAAACAGCUUCUCUAAUACCUUAGUGGUGACCCAGGAGACAACACAGAGCUCCCUGAGAGCGACCCAGCCCUGGGCUCCCCGACAGCCCAGUCAGACACGCUGAGGAUUGCCAUUGGGUAUAAAGUUCUACCAGUCACCAGGGAUCGGACACAUCAUCCCCUAGCUCAGCGGAUAGCUCAGAUCUCACCGAAACACAGCUUCCAGCCAGCUCUUAUUAACCAGUCUAAGAUUUAUUAAACAAGACAAGAGGGG
rnacentral:lncRNA from 1 species